rnacentral:misc_RNA from 1 species
ACUCCCCCGUCCUUCUCAUCUUGCCCGGCCUCUUUUCUACAGGACGUAAAGUUCUCGAGUGUCCAGACAUUCUGAAAAAGGGCGAUUUCGCUUACCUGCUUCCUCGAGUCGGAAUAUCCAAACAUCACCAACAGCACACAUCGGCGCAGAAGCAUUGCCGCGAGGUGAACGGGAAGUUACAGCCGGCCCUCUCCCUGUUUUUUUUUUCCUGUGCUUGUUGUACGCAGGUGCGGAGGUGCUAUUUGCAGAGCAACAACCACCCUCCCAGGUUACAAACAUAACCAUAUUUCACUCUCUCUAUAUAUAUUUUUUUUUGAUUUUUUUUUCACGGUCAACACGGCGGUUUGCUGUGGUGCUUUUCUCGUUGGUAUCAACCCUCAGAUUUUUUUUUUCUGUGCGCAGUGCUACGCCACACUCACAACAUUUUCUCUUUUUUCCCCUUUUCGCCCUCGGCCCUUUGCUUUUUUGUUGUUGUUUCGUUUGUUGUUCAACCGCGAACGCGCUGACCCUCUCGUGUAGACGCGUGCUCCUUCAUCUCUAUAUCUGUUCCCCCCUCUCUGUCGAUUAGCCAUCGCACUAUUCUCGUAUUCUCAACGGUACCUCUUUUCUUUGCUUUUCCUUGUUUUGUUCUGAUUUUUAUUUCUACCCGUUCUUCCUCCCUUUUCCCUUCAUAUAGCGAAUUGAUUUCUCUUGCGUAUUUGCUCGAGCUCCUCUCCCCGGCUUGUGUGUACCAGCUUCGCUCAGCAGCGUCGAAGACCGGUACGCUGUUCAGCGAGGUGUUGUACGGUGUCUUUGGCUUUUUUUUGUGCCGUAACGGGGGUAUCUCUUUUUUUCUUGUAUUUUUUUUUACGUUGUACUUUUGUGUCGAGAAGAGUGUGAGCGUCUGUGCAGUUGCUGGCUUCGUGACUUUUUCUUCCCUCCGUUCACUGCUGAUUCUGGUGCACUGAGGUCUGUGCACCACUACGCACACAUUCAUGACGAGAGCACUGAAAAAGUGAAAAGACGGAGCUGCUUGCUUCGGUGGAAAGGAGGCGAAGAGACCGAUAAAUACGAGAAUUUUUCUUUCUUUUUUUUUUGCGUCCCUCCAACAGACUCUCUCGUACACACGCACACACGGCGGCUUUCUCUCGCACGUACUCAGCGUCGCGCACGAGUUGCUGCUUUAGCCUUUUCGUCUUUUUUCGUCUUUGCUUGUUCCCCCUCCUCUCCCCCACCGCGUCUAGCUCCGUAGUUGAUUGCUGCUUUCCUCGUCUCUGUUUUCUUCACACCUCUACAGCCCUCCUCCCUCCCCACAACACCCCCUCUGCGCAUAUCGGUUCGUGCGCGUUGCCGGUCUAUUACUCUUCGCUUAGUCUCUCUCUCUACCCCCUCUUCUCCCGCUUGCCUCCUCCCCGUGGACUUCCUUGGUGGGUACUCGUUUUACGCCUUGUCGUGUGAUUUUGUCGUUGUACGAGGCUCACAUGCGCGGACUCUGUUAUUGCGUUUGACGCUCUGUGUGUGUGUGUGUUUGGGGGGAGUGUGAGACUGCGCGCGUGCGCUGUUUCGUGUUGCUGUUUUGUUUAACACCCUUCUUAUAUCUCUUUCACUGCGUAGCCAGCGGAACGAAAGGCGAUCCACGCUCUCCACGGCAAACGAAAGCGAGGCCCUUCUCUCCCAUCACAUCCCCACCAACUCGGGUGUGGAUCUCACAAAACGAAAAAGAAACAUAAAACGACUGCUCGCGCACGCCACGCACAGACUAUCGCUCGCUUGCUCUCUCUCUUUUUCCUGUUUGUAUGGAGGUAUUUCUCUCCCUGCCAAACGUCUCUCUUCGUCGUCGUCGUCUCGUUGUCUUCCUCUCUCAUUUUCUUUUUCUUAGGCCUUGCGUCUGUGCUCGUGGGGCGUGCUCGUUGGCGUUUGCCUACCCCUCCCCUGCGGAGCGACACUGGCAACUCCUCGCCCCUCCUCUUCUCCAUCAUUGUGCAGUCGUGCAGCUUAUUCUCACCAGACUCAUUUUCGUUUUGGUACGCCUUUAUUAUAAUUUGUUGCCUCUCUCAUCAGAGCCUUUUUGUGCUGCACUGGUUGUUGCCACAUCUCCCGUACGGCCAAUCCUUUCUCUCUAUUUGUGGGCGUGCAUGUGUGCGUGUCUCCAACUCCCCCUGCUCUCCCUCGCCUCUUUCUUCUUUUUUUUUGUGUGCGUUUUGCCGUCGCCUUGUAGACGCUUCCGUUCCGAUUUUGCGGUCGCACUGCUUUGGCCUUUUUUGUGGUACUGUGCUUGUUUCCCUCUGUUGACUUAAAGCCACGUAGUCGUUGGCUGCACCGACGCGAAUAUAGAAAACACACCCACGCACACACGGAAACACGGACAGGCAGACAGACGCGUGCAUCAAUCAGCAAAGAAACACAGACGCAUCAAAAAAAUUUUACCCAAGUAAAUGAGUGCCGUAGAGACAUCGAGGUGAAAUCAUUUUGUAUUGUCCUCUUUUCCUGUUUCUUCCUCUUUUUUUUUCCGCGCCGUCUUCUGUCGUAGCUCCGACCUACCAUUGCUGCCGCCUCUCCGCCUCUCUUCCCUUUUCCUUGCGUGUGCAUCGGAUCGUUUUUCUUUUCCGGUUUCUUUUUGUUCCUGUUACUGGCCAGAUCGCCCCUCUUUUCUUUCUUUUCCACGCACCGUGACGCGUUUCGCUUCGUAUCUUGCUCGUUCUGCGUUUUUCUGUCCUCCCUCCUCUCCCCCUUUUUUCGCAGAGGUGACCGUGAACGUGAAACUGUUUAUCUUCCCUCAACUCUGUUGUGCCGGCCCUCUGCAUCUUCGGUUCUCUCCUUCUUAUCCCGCGUCGAUCUCUUUCAGAUAUUUCCCACGAGGCAAAAACACAUUUUCGCUCUGGCGCAGUUGUCUGGCUCUGUCGCUCUCUUUUCUCGUUGGCCCCCCUCCCUCCCUCCCCACCCCCGAGCCCCCUCUUCGCGCGCUGCGGAGCUUUCUCAGCUGAUUUGAAGGUCUGCGCUGGUGCGUGUCUCUGCGUACAUCUUCACUUCUCCCCUUUUUAGUCUUUGUUCAACUGCUGAGCUGAGCGUUCUUUGCGUUUUCUCUAGGUUGAGAAUGAGCUCGGCUGGACGCCAUACCCGCAUCAGUGGCCACAGGGGUCACAAGCACUCCCGCGCCGCCGGAAACGGAGCCGGCAUGGAGUCGUCUGCUCACUUCGACCCGCACUGCAGCGAGGACUUUAAUGAUUUAAGCCUGCUGCCGCUGUGCACGCAGAUUUCGCACAUGCGGUUUGAUGAUCCGUCCUCGUCAGAGACGUCCAUCAGUGCUGGUCGCGGUUCGGACUUUCCACACGCCCCUGGUGCCGCAACAUCUCUCACCUCUUUCAACACCGACAAAAACCAACCGAAACAACCGCUGCAGAUGCUGCCAACGCUGUCGUUUCAGAAUGUGCACAAUGCCAGUGCCGGUGCAGCUGAUACCUCACCAACGGACCAUGCAAAUGACCACAAAGACUGUCUCCAGCGCAAGGAAAAGCCAGAGUGUUCGCAGCAGGACUGUCACGCUAGCGGAGAUAUUCGCUCGCCGCCGUGGUCAACGAUGAACUACCCUCUGAGCAGUGUUGGCAGUCACAACGCCGCGCUAGCACCCUCGUCAUCGUCUCUGACAGCCUCGUGCUUUAGCGUCGGUCCCAACGGCGUCAGCGGAGGGUAUUCUGAUUUUACGGGAGGCGUUUCCGGGGCUGCGGGGUGCGGCGACGGCGCCUUGGCAGCGGCAGCGGUGUGGCCCGACUGCGGCAGUGGCGGAAGUGCGAGUUCGCCGCUGCAACGGGCACAUCCCAGCAGCAAUGUGGGAACUGCGAGCACUGGCGAUGACGGUGGCGGCAACGUCGCGAUCGCGGAUGGGAAUGGGUACGCCAUGCUGCAGCCGCAGCUUAUGCAGAUGCUCCUCCAGCAGCAGCAGGGCACUGCACCACCAAAUACCUUCAUGCCGUCCAGCUCUCCGAGGACGAACACACUGAGAGGGCUGAGGGAGUCGUCUACCGCUGGCAGUGCUCCGACGAUGCCCGCCAUCAGCGCCUGCCUGAUGCAGCUGAUGAGCGGAAACGGAGGCAACGAGGCUGAGCAGACGACUCCUAAUGCUCCACUGCAGCAGCUAUUCGUUCUUAACCCACUGCCACCGCCCUCGCCGUCUACUGAGCCGGCGCCACGAGCGCCUCAGAGCAACAGCAUCAUCGACGCAGAUAGUGUACCGACAGUGCUGUCGCUCGGCAACCCCGGCACCCGCAUCUUUUACGCCGAUGCCCAGAUACGAGGCAACACCACGGCCAAGUGCUUGGCGAGUACAAGGGCCAGAGGCUGCGGUAGCAACAACCCACCAGCAGCGCCGCCCGGAUCGCUGGGCCAGACAAGCCUUCACCCCAACCACUUUGGCUCACCGCCAACCCCGGCAGCGUCUAGGAAGGAUUCGGAUGGAGGAGCACACAUAAACACGCUUGUCCCGGCGGCUUUGCUGACCGCCAUGAAUCCGCUGCACCACGCCUUUUCUCCACCGUCUCCCUCUAGCGCGGCGACUCUGCCGAUGCUGUCGACUGGCAUGUACUCUCCUUUCACGGGUGCCGUGCCGCACUGUCAGGCCGGCUUCCCUCCGCCACCACCGCCGACGACUGCGCAGUCACAGCCGCCUCUUAAGCCAACGAAUCGUGCCGGCAAUCGGCAUGGAAGCCGAGGACACGGCACAGCGCCGGCCACCGGGAACCACAACACCUCCGCUGGCGGCAACGGCCGCAACCGUAGCCGGCGUCAGCAGGUAGGCGAGGACGGCCAUGCGAGCAGCCGGAAAGGCGCUGCCGCUCACGCCGCGGGCGAUGCACACGCCGAGCCCAAGAAUGGAGCAAACUUCGUCGUUGGUGCGUGGUACGAGGGCGUCGUAAAGCGCUACAAUCCGCUACGCGGCUUUGGCUUCUUAACUUGCACGCACCAGCUGCACCUCGACCUCCACGCCUGCGAGCGUGCCUGCACUCGCCACGCGGAUGCGGUGCACGAGAAGCAGCAACAGCGCGACCUGGAGAAAGCCGCGGCUGCCGCCACGUCCGGCACGAGCGCAACGUUGCAGUCCGUCAACGAGGGCGAACGGGAGCAAGCCGAGCAGCAGCUACGGUCGCUCUCGAGCAAGAGCGUGUCGCCCGCAGACGACACAGGCGCGGCGCCACUUUUGGCUUCGAUGGGCUCCGUCAAGGAGAGCAACAUCUGCUUACCGCAAAACUCGGUGGCCACCGAGGCCCACCGCGAGGGCGACACCGACGCAGCGGCGCCUGCUGCAACUACAGACACAACGAACGCGGAGGUCGCUGACGCUGCUGAUGCCACUCUCUCGCCCGCCACUGCCAUGACGUCGACUGGUAAGGCUCACGGCACCGUCGUGUACAGCACGAUGCAGUGGUACCUCCACAUGGUGGGAGCGGCGGGUAAGCAAACCUUUGCUCAGGGCGCUGUCGCUGCACGGGAAGCCGAAGACGACGCCGAUGAAGGCAAACACAGCUAUCGUGCAUCGUUUGAGGAUUUUGGCAAGCUUGAGCGCGAGCCAGCGCAGCUGGGCGACAUCUUCGUGCAUCACUCCUGUAUUUCCAUGGAUGGCUUCCGCGUCUUUGUGCAGGGCACAGCGGUGCGCUUCAGUGUGGCCGUGUUGAUGGACACGGUGCAGGCGGUCGACGUCAUCCCACUUGGUCCCGAGUGGGAGAAGCCGCUGUCGCCGGAAGCGCUCGCACAGCCGCCUCUGUACAAGGUCACUCCUACCGCAGCCACUGUGCUUCGCUACCACCACCUGGAUGAGCAGCGCGACGACGACACAGGCAAGAAGUCUGGCGGUGGGCCGCAGAGUCGCGUGGGCGGCAUGUCUGUGCAGUGGACUGACAUGGCUGUUAUUCCCUCACCGGCCAUUCCGAACUCUGUCGAGGGCCAGAGUGAGCUUCUCAUCGUGCGUGUGCCGCCGAAGAUGGGGCCGAUUUCAUCCCAGACAACUGUGACGUCGACGAGGAGUGGGGCGACACCCGGCCUAGCAGCGAUGAAAAGCGCCUCGGCCACCAUCACCGCUACCAGGGGCGGUGUCGACACCUCGCAGAGCACAAAUGCGACGGAGUACGGGGGUGCAAUGCCCAAUACUGUUGGGGCAACUGGCGCUCAGGUGAGCGAUGCAAGCACCAAGGAGCCGAUGUGCACAGGUGCCCAGGAAGCCUUACGCGGUGGCCCGCAGUUGCUGGAUGUUGUCCAUCCAGACAGCAUCGCCGCCACGUUUUUGGCCAUGGACAGAGACGAUCAGAGGGCGUUGCAGGGCAAGCCGGGCGCAGCCGCGAUCACACCGGCCACUCCAGCGCCAUCAAGGAAGUGCAACGCCUUCCGCGAGACGACGAUGAAGGCGACGGAGCCGAGCGCGCCGGCCACAGAGGAGGUGGAAAGCCUGACGAACGGCACGUCCCUGGAGAAUGCGCCCAAGAAUCAGCUGAACCGGGACCCGAGCGCCUUUUCUGGCGGUUGGCUGACGAGUAGCAAAAACGAUCUGACGAGCGGUCAUGGCAACACCGGUGGCACCGGCACGCAGACGAGUGGGCGUGACUCACGCAGCGCCACGAUGACGACUAUGACCGCGACGAACCCGGCGCAGAGCAGCGACCACAACACCGGCAGCCAAAGCCAGGCGCUGCCGAACAGCAUCCAUAAUCUGAAGGACAGCCGCAGCCGCGGGAGUAGCACGAUACCGGCCGACAUGUUUGGCGACUGCAAGGACCUUGUCUUGUCUGGCAACAUGGAUCAGGCAAUCUCUUCCUUUAACGGCUGUGGGGCUGGUCACAAGGCUGACAAGGACCACUGUGAAGGCAGCGAAAGGGCAGCAGGAGGCGCAGCGGCAGCAGCGGACGGUGGCAGCAAUGUGGCAGUUUUGGCACAUCCGAAAACUGCUGCUCGCAGCGCCGCCGCUGCAGCGCAGGGAGCUGCGCUUUUGCCGGCUAACGGUGGCUUCUCUGAACCCCGCUCGCACGACGACGCGGAGUUAUCCGAGGUGCUUGUGCGCUCGCACAGCGGCAGGGACAGCGACGAGGAGGAAAAGAAUUCCAUCAUGACGUCGCCCUCGGGCAACACGAUCCCAGAAUCAAACCUCGGUCCAGCGCCUGACUGGACGGAGGUGUUCAACCUCAAGAUAGCCAACGAGAGGGUGAAGGAUAUCAUGAAGCAUAAGACAGACUUCAAAUUGCUUCCUCACCACAGCGUGAAAAUCAUCGCAGCGGCAGCGACACCGAACCAGAUGAGUGGCGGCGGUUCCUGCUUUGAUGCCGCUGCGCUUGUGCCGAAGGUGGUGCCGCUUUCCGCCGUUUGUGAGCUCGAUAGCAGCUCUUCGCGCGGCGUGGAGGAAGAUGAGGGCGCUGCAGAGGCCAGUGGCUGCCGAAGCGCACCUGGUAACUGCAGUAAUCGCGGCGAUCCAGUCGGUCGUGAGGCGAACCCUUCGUCGUCACAGCCGCCGAUGCGUGGCGACGACAGUGGCCAGACUGGCACAACGCAGCUGACACAAGAUAAGAGCAGCUGCAAUGGCCAUGAGGCUCGCCCGCGAACCGGCAAGCCCAAGAAGAGCAGCAGUGCCGAGGGCCAGCAGAAGCGGCUUAAGGACAAGACGGUGCCUGCAUUCGUGAUGGUGGACGUGGCCAACCUGCCCCCAAAGCUGGCAGCGCAGGUGCCGCGUGGUGUCACCAUCAUCGCGCUGCCCCGCGAGACCGUGAAAGACCUCAAGGUCAAGUCCAUCUCCGUCCUGCGAGAUGCGAGCAGUGAUCCUGCGUCUCCCUGCCUUGCGGAGGCGCAGUCUGCCGUACCCGUUGCCGAGGGGCCUCGAACGUCUGGCAGUAAAGCAUAUGUGCCUUUUCACGGACCGGCGCAAGCAGCUGGAGGGCGGCACGCCUCUUCCUCAUCGGCUGCACGUAGACCGGGUGGCAAUGUGCCGGCGCAUGGCCACGCGGAGAGCACCGACAGCGAAUUCUACCGCAAGCUGGUAGUCUCCCUCGACAAGAAGACGACCUCGAUCUGCAGCGCGCCCGCGCUGGGCGGUAGAAAAUGCGGCGACUCAUGCAGCCCAGAGAAUGACAGAAAUGUGUUUCCGUUUACCCUAGCGCCGCCGCAGAGCCAGCAGGUCUGUCAGCGCUUGCCGAGAACAUCGAUGGGGAGAAAACCCGACUCAAUGAACAAAAGCAGCAGGGGCAGCAUCAACACCUUCAAGACGAGCUCCCACUCGGUGCCGAUGCCUCAGAGCCUCGUCAACGUCCUGUCUUCACCGUGGAUCCAGGACAGCGCAGCGUCGUCGCAGUCGCUUCCAUACCCAAAACAGCAGCAGCCACCGCAGCAUCCGUUUGCGUUGCAACAGCAGCUCCAGCGCAGUACCCCCUCUGGCAGCCAACCGACCUCUAUCCGUACUACCCUCGGCCAUGCAAGCAAUAACAGUCUUUCCCAGCAGCAGUGUGAACCUUCGAAUCCCGUCUUCACGUCUACCAACAGCACGGCAGCCCUGCAGGCGGCGACUCGCAUUGCGACUGGCUCGUAUGCUGCACUCGACAGCAGCGGCCUCUACCCGAGCCCGUGUAUAAGCGCCGGCGUCGGCAUGGGUACUAUCCGGCAGCCGGCCAUGUGGGCCCCCAGCCAUGCUCUGGCGCUUGCCCAGCCCGCCUGUGCGCCUCCACCGCCUCCCGUCUCUUCACCGCAAACCGCACCGAGCGGGACAGCCAUGUCGGCCUCACCGCAGGCUUCAUCUCGGUGGCACCCCUCCCAGGGAAACUGGCGACCCUCGUAGACGAUUGGAGUGGAUGCGUGUACGUACAAUCGCGUCUUCGCGUUUGUGCUGCAGUAGCGCAUUUUCGUUGCAGUUGGCGUUUCGCUGUUGACCGUUUGCCGCCCCUCUUCCUGUUUCCCUUCCCUGCCUUUUUGUUGUUGGUUGUCUUUUUCAAGCCUCGUCUUCGGCCUUCCUUUUCCUAUCGCGUUUCCUGCGCGUCAGCAGAGCGGUUAUGCCGUCUUGCCCUUUGUUUUCGGUAUUGCCCGCUUGCGCUUGUUGCCUGUCGGUGCGGACGGUCGUUGUAGUUUUGUGCGGGCACAGUCUUCAUGUGUGUGCGUGUGUGUAUGCUUGGCUGUUGGGUUCCGAUAAUCUUCUUUUGCUUUCUUUGGUUCGGUGUUGCCAAUCUCUUGUUGGUUCGUCUCUCUCUCUCUGUGUUCUGCAGAUGCGGGAGCCCUCUCUGUCCCGCCUCUCCUUCGAAUGCUUCUCGCUGUUUUCUCAUCCUCGCAUCUCAGCUCAUGUGUUUUGCUUUGCCUUCUCGUUUGCGUUCUCCUCCUUUUUUCCCCCUCGGAGGGUGUAUUGCCCGGUCCUCCACCCUCCGUGGUGCUACGGAACAUCAUCGAAACGCAUGUAGCUCUUCCACACUUCAGCAGUCCUGUUUUUAUCGUUUUGUAUUCAAAGGCUUUUUUUUGUUUGCCUCGGCGUCUUGUUCUUUUUUCUACCUUCACGGCUUUCUGCCUCUGUGUUUUAACUGCCUUCUGCCAGCUUUCUCGAAGUCGACCGCGUACAUAUACAUGCAUAUAUAUAUAUAUGUCUACCUCUAUAUACACAUAAAUCUAUAAAGGUUUCUAUACAAGUAUAUAUAUAUAUAUAUAUAUAUAUGUAUGCUGCGGUUUUUGUCUUGAGGGGGGAGUCUUCUGUCCCUCCCUCUCCUUUUCUUUUUUUUCUUCGUCAUUCGGUGCCUCUCAAUGACGUCCCCCUCAUCUGUAUACGCACAUGCACGAUAUGUCCACCCGUUCACACGCGCUUCUCGGCAAAACGUGCACGACGAUGCCGACCCGUGGGCUGUCAGAAAGCAGAACGCAAACAAAGUAGUCAUGCGGCUGCGGAGCGCAUCUAUAUUCCGUACGUAUGUGUACGGGUGGUGAGGCGGUGUGGUCCUGUCCUGGCACGCUCGUUGAAUGAGGCGCUUUUUUCUUUGUUUCCUAUUCACCGGCACUCCUGCGGAUGCAGCUGUUGACUCCCACUCAUCUUUCUCUCUCCAUUUUGCUUUUACGGUCCAUUUUUGCCUUCUCCAGUGUACGUCUUUGACUCUCUCUCUUCGUUGUGCCGACACUUAUGCGUUCUCUCUCUAUUUAAGGUGGAGGUGCCUGACUGCGUGGCGUGUCUCCGCUCAUCAUCUCUCGUGUCUUCUCUUCUGGACCCUUGCGCUUCCCUUUCCGCUCACCUCCUCGGGUGCUCGAUCCGUCUUUGCGCUACAGGCAAGAAAGAGACCGCCAAACAUGACACAGAAACGAAAAAAUAAUAAAAAAAGGUGGCAUUGACUGCAUCGAGCAAACGCUGAGAAGACGCGAGCUCGCGAGCCAUCAAACAGCGUACAUGUGCAGUCGACAGAAUUGCACGAAGUUGUUGCUUUUUUUUCGUAUUAUUAUUAUUUAGGUUAUUAUUUUGGUUAUUGCUUUGGUUAUUGUUGUGGGUACCCGUCUGUUUUUCGUUUUGCCUUCACCGAUUCAUGGAAGGGAGUGCCAAACCUCUCUUCCUCUCCACAUUUCCUCGUUCCCGGCCUCACCAGUGUUUCGUUUAUUUUGCUUCCAUCUUCACGCGGAUUAUUCCUUUCCUAUGUGGAACGCUUUUUCUCUAUCGCGUUUUUGUGUGUGCGUGUGUGUGCUGACCGUUUUCUCCGGCGCUCGGAAUCUCCCUUCUAGAUGCCGGCGUUGGUUUGCGAUCGGCUGAUUGUCCUUGAUCGCCGCCCGAAUCGAUUCUCCUCUUGCCUGUCGGAGCGGUGGUAGCUUUCUUUUCCCCGUGCGCCGCCUCUGAUAGCGCGCUAGGGGGCCUAAUCAAAUUGAAGUCUGCGUGUGCGAGCUACAUGCACCCACAGCACCCUGCGCGGGGCUCCGUUCAUGAAGGCGAUGCCAUGCAAGAAAAGCUCACGUGAUGCAAUAAGAAGUCUUUCGUUCCGUAGACCCAGCGACGAAAGAAAAAAAGAAGAGAAACAUGGUAACCGUUCCUCUUCCCCUGUUAUUUCCUGUGCUCAUGUGUGCAGCACCUCUGCACCGGUUGACCUUCAUUCAUGGGCACCUGGCACACAGGCGUGCACGCAAAGGAAAAGGAAACCGCACAUCCGAACCCUUCUUUCUACAGGGUCAACUUUAUCAAGCGACUCAGGAGCGAAUACAGGCGUGCGCCCCACCACUUGUAUACGUGGGGCGCACCAGGCAAGGAAAGGAACACGCUUGCCUGUCAUUAAACAGGUGCCCGCUCUUUCCUCUUCUCUCUCUAUAUGAGGUGCCGUGUCUACACUCUUUUGUUUUACGACGUGUGAUGAUUUCUUUUUUUUUGUACAGUUUAUUUUUAUUUUCUGCUUUCCUUUUCGCCUUGAAGGCUUGUUUGUUGUUGCGCCUCGCUCCUUUUUGUUGCCCUUCGCCGAGCGCGUCUCUCUGCAAUGCUUGUGCUGCUGUAUGUUUCCAUCUCUGUUCCUCUUCCAUCCACGCCCUUCCUCUUUUUUUUUCGGGAACCUUGCGCGGUUGGCCUGUGGUAUGUGCGAGAUGUUUAUUUUCGUUUCCACUUGCGUUUUUUUUUGUAUGCUCGGCUGCAUAUCUUAUAUGGGGCGUCUCCCCGUCCUCGCGCGAUUCGUUUCGUUGACAUAUAUGUUCUUUUUUUUUUUCGGGACUUUUUGCGUACUUGUCACCGCUUGUGUGUGCGUCCCUCUUUUUUUUUUCGGCCGCGUGCACAUUUUGUUGUCAGUGCUGAAUCAACCCCCCUCCCACGCUACGCGUCUAUGCACAGGUGCGCGAGCAGCACCACACAGAAACUUUUCAAUGCAGGUAAGUGUAGUGCGGAUGCGCGCACUUUACCUCCGAAAGGCGAUCAUGGGGAAUGCGGUGGCGAGAGGGAGGCGAACGUGCUCAAAGGUGACGCGAAAUUUCUUGAGUUUGAAGAAACGACGGCUUCCGCGGCGAGCCCUCUGCCCACAGGGCGUCUUUGCUGUGACGGUGGGGCCACAUUCCGCCGCGGCAUAUUUUCUUUUGCCGCUUCGCCUGCUGCGCUUCCGUUUCUGUGCUCUCCCGACUCGAUUCUGGUGCAGUCACUCACUGGUUCUCUUUUUGUAUGAUUGCGUGCUUCGCUGCUCACAUGGUCACUUACGUCUGCGCCGCCCGCUCGCUCUCGCUCUCUCGUCGUCUCCCCAUUUAACCAGAAUGGACGUGUCUCUGUCUCCUUUUUUAUAUGUCUUUUCCUGUGUUCUCUGGUCAUGUGUUCUUUUCCAGUGGCGUGCGCACACCCGGCCAACGGUGGAGAGGGAGCGGAUGGCGUUCUUCAUAGCGUCCUUGAACCGCCCUCCUCUCUCGCCUCUCCCUUUGCUUGCUUGUCUCCAUCAAUUCCUUUCCCUUGCUCACGUCAGCGCAGGCAGAGACGCAACGGAAAACACGCGCCGUGGGUGCAUGGCAACCUCCAUCCCCUUCUUAUCUUGCGUCACUCUUGCUUUUCUUUUCUGGUUGAGCAUCUCCUCGGGCACUCUUUUUUUUUUUCUUCCUCCCCCUUUUUUAUGCGCGUGUUUCAGGUAUGAGUGAACUACUCGUGAUGGCUCUCUCAUGUUGUGCCCGGCGGGGCACACUUCUUCCUACGAAGUCGCUCCUUACGUUGAUUCAUGCAGGGCUCGUCGUCCCCAUUCGCAUCAUGGAGCACUUUAGCACGGGUUUUGACUUUUCUCUACUUCGUCCGCAUACAUAUAUGUAUCUAUAUAUAUACGUAUACAUGUAUGUAUACAUAUGCAUAUACGUAUAUAUACAUGUAUGUAUAUGUAUAUGCAUAUGUAUAUAUAUAUUAUAUUCUCUCUUGCUUUGCAACGCCUUGCUUGAGGUUACGACCGCGCUGCCUGCGCUCCCACGUUGUCUCACCUCCUCCGAUCGCUCUUCCCUUUUCAGGCUCGUUCACUACAGCAGCGAAGCGCUCAUCUCUACGCAUACGCACACGCCCCCGCCUUUCGCCUCUCUCUCUCUCCUUCUUUCUGUGCCUCGCUGUGGGCUCUCGUGCACAUGUGAGUCUUUUUUUCCCCGUUUCUUAAAUUAUGCAAGGGCUGGGUGCCGUCGGUGGAUGCUGCACCCUUUUCGCUAUGCUUGAUGACUUCCAGCUUACUGCCUUUUUUUGCUUGUGCGCUUUUACAGUCCCAGGGAAGGGUUCCGUGUGCGCAAGAGGGAGACUCUUGGUCUGUGCGCACACAGGCGACUCGGAGAUGAUACCUCAGAAAAUCGGCGAGGCAUGCAAGGCACCCACACCAGGUGGAGUGGAUGAAGGAAAGCAAGAUACGACGCGAAAAAUGCGGCACGGACGCGAGCGCAAAGGGAUUGAGGAAGAGGAAGAACUGCGUCAUCUCACGUAGAGAUGGACCUCUACGCGUGCAUACGACGUUCCGUUCUCUUCUCCUCUUCCUUUUUCUUCGAACCGCUCCGAGAAUGCCUUCAAAAAAAAAACACGACUGUCUUUUCGUGUGUUCUUCAUUCGUUGACAACUCUCUGUGCCUCACGGCGAUUCCAUCUCUCUCUCUUUUUUUACCUAUGUGUUUUCUGCAAUUCGUUGUUUUGUGGCUUGUUCUCCCGAUUUCCCAUUAAGGUAGGUGGGCACUUGCUUGCUUGCUUGUUUUUUUUUUCAUUUACAUGUCAUGGGUUAGUGGCUUUCGCAUGCCUGUUAUGUUAUGGCUAUGAGUUGUGAGUUGGUAAUCUGGCCCCGCGUUGGGGUCUCGCGCUCUCGCUCUCACUCGCUCUGUGUGUGCGUGUGCUUGUGUGUGCUUGCGUGCUUGUAUACAGACCGAUGCGAUAAAGGCACCGAAAACUGUCAUGCAAGUGUAGAGGAAACCAAACAACAAAAUAGAGAGAAGCGGCAGAGGCAUGCAAUGGCCUAUGGGUGCAUCACCAUCGUCGUUCUCUUCUCUUUGGUGUUGGGGUUGCUUUUCGCUCACCUAUUUUGUGGCGGACACGGAGUGCGCGCGGAAAAAAAAGUGAAGCAGAGAAUCUCUAACAGUGAUUUGUCAUGUAAGGCGCAGAUCGAGACUUCCUUCUCCCCCUCCCCUUUCUCCUUACUUUCUUUUUUCUUCGGCUGAGCGCGUUAGUUGACUCUGCGCUUUCCCGUCUGAGCGAGUAGGGGAGAGGGGGCCUGUGCUAGCCUAGUGCUUGGGUGCGUGCCGCUGCUGUCGGGCAUUUUGUUUCGGUGCGCUCUCUAGGUCGACUCAAGAGACCUCUUUCCCUCUCCUCUCCAACGACCAAAAACAACCAAAACAAUGCUUAACGAGACAAGGAAAAAGAGGCGGGCAACCUUGAGGACUGUCUUUUCUUCUCGACUGCUGUACGUCUCGUGAUUCCGCAGCCCCCCUCAACAACAGAAAAAGAAACAAGCAAGCAAACACUCGUGCCCCAUCUCACGAGCGUUUUCAUGCCGCUUCUUCUUGGCUUUGUUUUGCUCUUCCCUUCUUUGUUUGUUUUCUUUUCGAUCCUGCCCUUUUCGUUUUCAAGAGACCCGUUGGUUGAUGUUGUUGUGGGAUAUGUUUCGUGUCGCGCCGUUCGCGUGAUUGGGUGUGGAUUGGUUGGGGGGGGAGGAGGGCGCGAUGUACGGCGAAGACACAACGACGGUGCGUCUCGUGGGAACUUUGAAGUGCGAAAAAACAAGAAAAGGAGGAGUGGAUGGGUAAACGGCUACACCGUCAAGUGAAUAACAGCGCAGAAAAUAGUGCGAGGCAAAGAAGGCGUGCUUGAUGGGGGAGAGGUCAGAAAAAGAAAAACAAAGAAUGAAAGCUCCGUAGAUAUCGGCUUUCUGUCGCUGUCUUUCACGUGAGCGACGCGGGCGUAUGAGUGGCAAGGCGGAAGGGAAGUGGCCGACCGCGCGACUCGUGCGCUCAUCCGAAAGUCUCCCUUGUCCCGAUGUGCUUUCUGUCUCUCUCUUUAUCCCUCUACGUUGUUUUCCAUGCUCCUGGUUUUACCACCACAGCGUAUCGGGCUGACCUGCGUCCUGUUCUUGUUUUCCGCACCAUUUGCGUGUCUGUGUCUGUGAGCGUGAUUCCGUUGGAGCGUGCUGUGCCUGCUUCCGACGGAGUCGUUCCUGCGACUGACCACUUCUUUGUAUUCCGUUCUUGGCCCCCUUCUCUCUUUUGUUUCUUUCUGAACGGGCUUGAUAGCUUAUUCUACUUUCCCUUCUUUUUUUUCUAUUGUUGGCGUGCAGAGGAAGGCAUGCACGACAACGUCGAUGAAGAGCCAAACAGCAAAGCCACUGACGAGAGCGACGAGGGAUCGUCUCUUCUUUCCCUGCACAGGAAGACCGUGCGCGACGUCUCCGAGAACUGCUUUUCAUGUCUCGUGGUCGGCUUUGUAUCUUCUUUUUUUUCCCUUUAGAUUCUGUCAUGGGUGCUCUGCACACACUAUUCCGCCGUUUUGCCGUUGGCGCUCGACACGCUGUGGGCUGCUCUCUUCUUUGCGCCGCUCAUGCAUCACCGUCGUUGUUGGCACGUUCAUUCCUCCUUUUCUCCAACGGCCUUCUGUUUUUUUUUUUUGCAUUUUGCUUUUCAUUUUAAAGCUUCUUCUUUCCUUUUUCGUUGUCGUCAGCGCGCUCACAUGCGCUGCCGAGGCGCGCGUCGAUGUUACCGCGUGCUCGUAUCCGCAACAACGAGCAAC